ensembl:snRNA U6 U6 spliceosomal RNA
GUGCUCGCUUCGGCAGCACGUAUACUAAAAUUGGAACGAUACAGAGACCUUCUGCAUGACCCCUGCAAAAAAAAAAAAAAAAUGUAAAGAUGGGAUUUUU